UCUGACCGUCACAAAUUGUAGUGCCUGAAAU
rnacentral:piRNA from 1 species